AUUAGUUUCAAACUCUAAAUCAGAAAGAGAGAGAUAGGAGUGCAACACAAGGAUGCCUUCUCCUCCGGAAGAAGGAACCCAACCCAAAACCGAUUCGGGUUCGGGCCCGGGUCAAACCUCCGAACGUGAUACCAGUCAACCACCACCUCCUACACCGCAAUCUCAACCGCCUCCACCGCAAACGCAAUCGCAACCGUAUCCGCCGGUGAUGGGCUAUCCAGGUUACCCACAAGACCCGUACCAAAAUUAUCCAAACGCAUCUUACCAACACAACCAAUACGCCUACGCGCAAGCCCCACCCGCUUCCUAUUACGGUUCUUCUUACCCCGCUCAGCAAAAUCCGGUUUACCAAAGACCAGCUCCUUCCGGUUUCUUCAGAGGAAUUUUAACCGGUUUAAUCGUUUUAGUCGUCCUCCUAUGCAUCUCUACCACCAUAACAUGGCUCGUCCUUCGUCCUCAGAUCCCGGUUUUCUCCGUAACCAGCUUCUCAGUCUCCAAUUUCAACCUAACCGGACCGGUUUUCUCCGCUCAAUGGACGGCUAAUCUCACGGUCGAGAAUCCAAACACGAAACUGAAUGGAUACUUUGAUCGGAUCCAAGCAUUCAUCUACAACCAAAACGCGAUCGAAGAAGACGACUUUUUGGCGAUGGCGUUCUUCCAGCCAGUUUCCGUGGAGACCAAGAAAUCAGUUUCCAUUGGUGAAACCCUAACGGCAGGAGGGAAAGAACAACCCAAAGUACCGAGUUGGGUCGGAGAGGAGAUGAAGAAAGAGAGAGAUACUGGAAUGGUGUCGUUUGAUCUGAGAAUGUUGGUUUGGGUUACUUUCAAGACCGAUGGUUGGUCGGCGCGUGAGAGAGGGCUUAAAGUGUUUUGUGGGAAGUUGAAAGUUGCGUUUGAAGGAGGAUCUGGAAACGGUGCCGUUUUAUUGCCUAAGCCUCUUCCUUGUUUGGUUUACGUUUGAUCCUUCUUGAUUUUUUUUUUAUCUUGACGUCUCUUGUAAUGUUCGAUUGUUUAUUAUACAAAGUCCAUAGAAAUCUCGUAUAAGAAACUUAAAAGAGCAAACAUUCGAUUCAACUGCAGAUCUAGCUUGUGAAAAGAAUUAUAAUCGUUAUUGUAUCAACCAAUCUAAAAUUCAAAUGUUUGAUUUAAACCUCUGGUUCAGGUGGGUUUAUAUAACUCAGUCAAUCGAUCAACCGACGGUUUGAUUUGUUCUUGAUUCUUAACACGGAAACAAAAAAUUUAAACAAUAGUUCGAAAACGUGAACUCGCAAACGCUUUGGAAGAGUUAUGAUAGAAAAUAUUAAAGAAUAUAUAUUUUUCUUGACUAAAUUAGUUUUGAAUAGUGGUAACUACAGUCUGGAAGACUAUUGGUGAAAGGCUACUAGUGAUAUAUGAAUCUUUGUCUUGGUUCACAAGGAUAUUAGGAUUAAACGCUUGAACCAAAUCAUAAAAGAAACAACAGUGAAAAAUAAAUCAUGUGGCUCAUUCGAGCUUCAUUGUUGUUUGAUUGCUCUUAGUUUUAUAUGAUGAAACAAAAAAAGAGCUGUCAGAGCUCUAUAGUAGAAAAAGUUGAUUCGAUGAUUCUGCAUAUGGCCGAGAAUAAAAAUUUAUUGAAUGGGGUUUGACUUCUCAUUAACACGGACCACGUUUGCUGGACAUGAAACAUCAUGUUGGAAACUUCUCCUUGUUUUAAAGUAUCACCUUGCUUGUCUACGUUAAGGAAAAGUAUACUAUAUUCAGUCUUCUCUUUUGAAUGUAGCUAAAAAAAACUCCAAAUUUCUUUGGAUCAACCACUCGAUCCUCCAUGAAGUGGAGUAAGAAUACGUCAAAGAGAUGAGUAUAUAUAUCUCGAUUCUUGAAUAAAGAAACCUAUUUUUAAUUUAGAAGAAUGUUGAUGCUAGUAAUUGCCUUUGUCAAUAUUUCUGAACUUUAUUAGUCUACACUUCUUCCACUCCCAAAACUUAAAAACACUUCUAUCUUCUAUCUUUUUAAAAAAUUAGGAGUAUUAAAACAAUGCUAUUGAUAAAUGAUAUACUUUUUAGUACUCUGAAAGUGUCAUUAAGUUUAUACUUUUUCUAUUGUAUUUUUAAACAUGAAAAUAUGUUCUUAUAUAUAUUCUAAUAGAUCUCCCAUGUUUUGUUGCAUACAUUCCAUCAAAUUCUUUUUGUUUUCUAAGCUUCCAGCCCUUGACUUUUUUUUCUUGCAAGUUUCUUCCACGAGCUACAGUGUUUAUUCCAUAAUUUCACAUUUGAAUCAAAGAAUUUUUUACAAAAAUGUAAUACUGUGGCAAUUUCUUAGAAUAAUUUUGAACACCGACAUCAAGUAUGACUUAGACAUAUCGAUAUAACCAGGAACUAUAGUAUAACUUUGUUUCCACAUGGGAACAUAAACAGUUAAUGCCGAACUGCCAAUUAUUUUACUUCCAGUACAAUAAACCACACAAUAAAGAUAGGCUUUACACUUUUCUUGAAAGAAAAAGAAAAAAAAAUUACUCUACCAAUCCCCAACUAUAAGCUGACACAUUCUAACAUCGAAAUUAAAUAUAUUUUUGAUCUGAGUUCUCUUGAUUUACAAAAUUGCAAUUUCAGAAUAAGAAUAUAUGCACAUGCGCCAUGUUCUAGUUUCGCCUACCGAAACAAUAACACCAAAAUAGACGCAUAUUGUAUUUUAACCGAAUCAAUCAUGAGGGAAACUUCUUCCAUCAUCGCAACAAAAUGAAAUAAAUAAACUCCACUAAAUGUCAAAAGUACCAUUUCCCAAAAAUAAUGAUCAUAUCCACAAAUUUCAUUGUAUUAUUAUUGUUCGUUAAAAGAUUUUCUUAUUUUUGGGGCAUACGUAUGUUAUAACAACCGUUGCAUACAUAACAAUUAAAAUAUAGAUAAAAUGUUAAUUGAUCUAUACUCUAUAGUCUAAACUCCAAACACAACGUGCAUAGUACAUAGGCCAUUGCACACAGUUUCAAUAUAAUACGCACAACCAUCUUUCUCCCAUCAUUACUUGCCACGACCACCACAAAGGGAAGAAAUAAAUCACAAAGAGAGAGAGAAAGAGGAAGCCCAGUGGUAAAAGAUGUCAAAAGAUUGCGGUAACCACGGUGGAGGCAAAGAAGCAGCCGUCCGGCGAAUCUUAACCGCCGUAAUAGCCUUCAUCAUAAUAGUCCUAAUCACCAUCUUCCUAGUGUGGGCCAUACUUAGACCCACCAAGCCAAGAUUCGUCCUCCAAGACGCCACAGUCUUCGCCUUCAACCUCUCGCAACCACACCUCCUCACCACAAACUUCCAGAUCACAUUCGCAUCUCGUAACCCGAACUCCAAGAUCGGUAUCUACUACGACCGUCUCCACGUCUACGCCACGUACCGGAACCAGCAGAUAACUCUCCGUACGGCGAUCCCUCCAACGUACCAAGGCCACAAAGAAGACAACAUCUGGUCUCCGUUCGUGUAUGGAACGGCUGUUCCCAUCGCUCCGUACAACUCCGUCGCGUUGGGGGAGGAGCAAGGCCGUGGAUUCGUAGGGUUGAUGAUACGCGCUGAUGGGCGCGUGAGGUGGAAAGUAGGGACGUUGAUCACCGGAAAAUAUCAUAUCCAUGUUCGGUGUCCGGCUUACAUCAAUCUUGGAAACAAAGCUGCUGGUGUUAUUGUCGGUGACAACGCCGUUAAGUAUACGUUGGUUACUAAGUGCACUGUGAACGUUUAGAACAUUGAACAACGUUAAGUUGCUUUUUUCUAUUUUUUUAAAUAAAAUUAUUUAUAAUCAAUCAUUUCUUUUUAUGAACUAAUUCACCAAACUUCUUCUUCCACCAGCAAGAUAAUAUUUCUGUUUCACUACUUGUUGUUGUUAAGAUUAGUGUUGAUUACUAUAGAAUAGUACUUACUAUCACGAUGGUGUGUGGUUGGAUUUAAUUUAUUGUAAAUCCACUUAAAGCGAAAAGAUGUAUUGGUACUGGUUCUUUUGUGUUUCAUCUUUUGUACUUCAUAGCUUUACUACUUCUAUAUUCGUCAAUAAUAGUGUGACGACAUGAGAAGACUGUAACUCAGUAGGAUACGCUAGUGAGUUAUGAAGUAUAAAAUAUUUUAGCAGCCAUAACCUUUUUCAAGUUGUAUAAGGCAAUGAGAAGAGAAAUAUAUUGUUGGUGGAGAGAGUAAUAAUGGUAAUGAAACGAAUAUAAAUUGGACGAACCGAAUAUAUGCUCAUAAUAAUUUUAUAGGAUCAAGUAUAUACUUUUUAAUGGGGAAGUGUUAGGUGGCCUGAAAAUAAUCGGAAUGGUUGGUGAGGCCUAAAACCAAAACCAUUCAAUAACUAGCCACUCUAUUUAACCGGUUUGUGUAUCCACCUCGGCUGUAUGCUGUUGCGGGUGAAAAAGUUGGAAACUAGUAUGUGCUCGGUAAUAAUAUAAACUCUUAUAUCUUGAACUUUUAGCAACCCCUACAACUACAACUAAAGGCAUCAUCAGCCAACAUAGAAAAUACUCUCGCAUAACCGGAAAAGAAAUCCAAAGAAAACUGGCUAUAAAAUUCUAGGAAGAGCAAUAUACGAUACAAAACCAUAAAACUAACGGUCCUCAUAAAUUCAAAUCAUCUUAAGUCAAAUAAUUAAUAACCAGGUGAUCCAUGCCAUGCGCGCGAUGAGCUAUAUAUAUAACAAAAUAUUUACAAAAGGCAGUAAUUAAAAUGCAAAAAAAAAAAAAAACGAAACUCAUAUUUAAUUUGUUUAACUUCAUACAUAAGAAAUUAUUAUAUUUUGCAAGCGAAACUUUACACAAAUCAAAUACAAGAAUAUCUUAUGUUCAAAGUUACACUUUGAAAAUAUCGCAAUACGUUUAACCAAUAACAAUGUAUGUAAUUGACAUUUAAACAAUGAGAAAUUGCUUACACGCUAUAUUAGUAGGUUUAUAUAUAUAUAUUACUAAUUGGGAAUCUGAUCUAUACUUUGAGAAGUAAAUUUUUGGAAUCGAAUUCUCACGUUAAAAGUUAGAGUGGUUAAUAACGUUUAUACCCUUAAUGAAUAAACUGUAUACCUAAAUUAAAAAAUAAAAAAUGAAAUUAUAAUUUAUUUGAUUAGAUAAUUGAUUAAAAUUAAUAAUAGUAACAAUUAUCUAAAAUCUGAAAAUAUAAUUUAAAAAGAGAGAUAAUUUCUUUAUAUAUUGUAUUGUUAUCUGAAAAAGUCUUUUUGUAAAAGUUAAAAACAUGAAUUAUAUAACUAAACUAGAUAGUGUGCCCGCAUAUGCGGACAUAAUAAUUUUACAAAAUUUAAACAUACAUUAUUUAUUUAAAAAUCACCACUUUUUCAAUUAUAUUGUUUCCAGCUAUAUUUUAGGAAAAUCUCCAAAAAAAUUUCAUCGAUGUUAAUCUUAUCACCAAAUUUUAUAUUGUCACAUUUAAGUAUAUCUUUCAUCGAUGUUACCAAAUCUUCAUAUAAUAUUUCUUGUCUAAACAUUUUUAUACUAAAAACUGAUAAGAUUAUUGUUGGUAACUACAAUUAUAUUACCUUGAUAAAUAUAUAAAGAUAUAUAUAUUUAUGUAUAUAUAUCAGCUUUUAUUUAUUUUGGACAAUAAAAGGUUAAUUAAUAUUUUUUAGAUAAUUAUAAUAUAUAAUUAAAUUUUCUUUUACUUGAUUAUUAUUUAUGCAAGUUUACCUUCUGUUUUUGGGUGAUUUUAUUAUUGUGUAUGAAUAUAUUAUUAUCUAUAUUAUAAAUUAAUAUAAUUAUCUAAUUAUAAAGCAUUAUAAAUAAAGAUAAUUAUUCAUUAAAUGUAGAAUGACUCUAAUUACUCUAGUUUUUAAUGUGAUAGUUCAGAUCGAAUUCCGGAUCAGACAUAUACCAAGAGCACAAAACACCUUGGCGGAUAAGCUUGCACGUGGUGCGAGGAGUUCUCCUUCAGCUAUGCUUUAUGUCGAUUCUACCCCCACCGAUUUGGCUCUCUGAAUCGGGUGGUUUAGUUACCUAGUUAUAGUUAUUGUUGUCAAAAAAAAAAUAUUAGAGUAAAUUUGUUUAAUUAACUAACUAAUACAAUCUGUAAAUUUGUAUCAUUACAAGAACCAACCAAUUGAGCAAAGUCGGUAAAAAAGUUCAUGCCAUGUUUUAAUUUUGAGCUCAUACAUUUUUCAUUUACUAAGGAUUCACACAAACAACGUCCAUAAGACCAAGAGCUUACAUUUAACACUAUAUGUUUUUCUUUUUAGAUAUUGAGAUGGAGAAUUUAAGGUGGCAAGCAACGUGAAAGUUUAGCUUCGGUACUGCACAAAAUAAUAAACAAAUAAAAAAAACCAAGUUGAAAAAUAACAAAAGUACAUAGAACAUAGAACUUCUAUGAGAAAUUAUUAGACAAACCAAUGCCCGAAGCCCAUAAAUUCAUAUAACAAAAUUGUGAUGCUACAAACUAAAGGAAACUCAAAUAAAAAAAAAAAUAAGAGAAUUCAAUUAUAUUUAUCUAGACAAUAGAAUCCUUCUUCUAUCUCCAUAGCCACUGAAAAAAAAACAGGAUAUAAGAUUCAAUAUGAACAAAACCAGAAAGAAUCACAUAAUCAAAAAAAAAUAUACAUAAGAUAUCCGAAGCAAUAAGAAGUCACUCAAUAUGAAAUAAACUAAACUAAAAUCUAAAAGAUAAGAGAUGAAUAGGUUUUAUAUAAUAUUACCGUGUGAACAAAAAGAUAACAAUUGGUUAAAUAUAUAUUAUAAUCUAGCAACAUUAUAUAACUAUUUAUUAAGUAAAACUAUUAAUCUAAAACUAUGGAGAACAUGACAAAUAAGCAAAAUCACUUCAUAAAUAAUAGUAUAGAUAUUAAUCAAAUAAAAUGUAUAACUAAAUUAAAAAAAUGAAAUUUUAAUUUAUUUGAUUAGAUAAUUGAUUAAAAUUAAUAAUAGUAAGAAUUAUCCAAAAUCUGAAAAUAUAAUUGAAAAAAGAGAUAAUUUAUGUAUAUAUUGUAUUGUUAUCUGAAAAAAUAUUUAGUAAAAAGUUAAAAGCAUGAAUUAUAUAACUAAAUAUUAAUCAAAUAAAAUUCUUAAUUAUAUAAUUAAAAAUAGAAUAUUGAAUUAUCCAAAAUCUAAAAAUAUAAUUUAAAUAAAAAGAUAAUUUAUAUAUAUAGGCUGUCUUCCAUCCGCGCCUGAGCGCACAAGGGAGGUUUAGUUCUAUGGUUUGUAACGAGAUAGGUUAUAGAUAGGUUUGAGUUUAAAAAAAAUUUCUAUCCCAAUGUAACACAAAGUGUAAAACAGCUUUUUGUUUGAAUUAAUUUAACAUUCUUUCAAAAAAAAAAAAAUUUAUAUAUAUAUAUAUAUUGUAUUUUUAUCUGCAAAAGUAUUUUAAUAAAAGGUUAAAAACACAUAUUACAUAAUUAAAUAUUAAUCAAAUAAAAAAUAUUAAUUAUAUAAUUAAAAAUAUAAUAUUAAGUUAUUUUAAGAUUUAUUUUAGUAUAAUGAAUGUAGUGUACAAAAAACUUUUCAAAAAUUAUGAAAAUGUUUAAGCCCGCAGCGCGGGCAAAACAACUAGUAUGGAAAUAUAUUUAAACUAUUAUGUUUUGAUAAGCCAUACACUACAAUUAUGUAUCAUAACUGAAAGAACGUAAUUGUACAUUAAUUUAGAUUACUAUAACUGAUUAGUGACUAAAUAUAUGUGGUGUAAUCUUGUAAUUUUUAAUACAUAUAUACACAAACAUUCACACGGAUAAUCAAUCAAAAAUCGAAUAUGUAGUAGAAGGGCAGGAACUAUUUCAAGUAAAAAUUGGGACUGUAAAAUGUACCAGAAAAUCCUUCACCUUAAAGCAAAUUUAGAGAUCAUGUGAGAUACCAAAUCAGAAUACAUAAAUUACAGUUCCUCCAAGGCACAUGAGGCAAAGCGUGAUACCCUGAAAUCAUAUACCUUGUUGUCUACCACUAUUGUCAAUUUAGAAUUUCAGAACUUCAUGCAAUAGCUUUUUUUGUAACAUUUUUAAGGUCAUAUUUGACCUUAAAAGGAUUACUGGAAUCUUCCAUCGCAACAACCAUUUUCCUGCACUCAAAACAAUGAUGAAACUAAAGUGUAUUCACAUAAAACACGUACAGCUACGUCAUUGUACAUCAAAAUCGUACAAUUUGGCCAGAGAAACUCGGAGAAGCAAACGUAGCACCAGGUUUUGGGGCCAUCGGCUAGCCAUUGACUGAUGGCAAGUUUCUUCAGUAUCUGAAAUAAACCUAAAAAGCAAAAGGCUUAGUUGGUAAGUAAUAAAAAUGAUUGAUUUAGGAAGACUAUAUGAUAAAUGAUAUAAUAAAUGAUAAAUGAAUAGAGGGUUGAUGGCAUAUGUUGUAAUUUUUUUAGUAAACAAAUGGUUGUUUAAUAUAUAGUGUGAGAAGACUUGUGGUGUUGACACAUAAGCAUGACAAACUUGUUAAUAAUAUACAAGACUAAGGUUGUUUUCUAAAAAUGUUUCUUUAUUAAUAAGAAAAGGUUAAAAAGCACACAUAUAUUAUGGAAUAAAACGAUCAAUUUAGUUCUCACUAAAUUUUAGAAUUUUACUUUUUCCUUUACAACUAAUUUUAUGUUGUGUUCCAGGCUACAGUUGUCUCUAGCCAUAUGUAUAGUAGCAUAUUGUCACGGUCCAUUUUGGAAGUCCAAAACGUCCAUGAAUACAGCCAUGUAUCGGGUCGGGCCGAAACAAGAUCCAACCCCGCUAUACUUAAGUUUCUUAGGUGUGAAGUACCUUUGUAAAAUAUCUAAGUAGUUUAUAUUAUAAGAAAUGCAUGGAAGUAUGUAGAACAAUUAAGGAUAAGGUACUUAGGAUUGAAGUUACUUCACGUUGAAGUGAUUCUGUAUAAAUAGGGGCUAAGUUCCUCAUUUGCAAAUCAUCAUGAAGUUAAUAAGAAAUCAGUUCAUAAAGCUCUAACAUCUCUUUAAAACGUCCAUACUUUCUUUCUCUAAGUGCUGAUCAUUAUCGAAGAGGCUGACUUAGCGUUUCUUGAAGAAGAAAACUGCUAAGGCCGCAUGUCCUUAUUCGAGUGAAGAAAUCGGUCUGUGACAAUAUGCUAUGAUUAUGAAUUAUCUCUCUUUUGACAACUCAAGUCACACGAGCCUGUGAAGUUACUGAAUAAAUAUGAAAAUGGAUUUGUCAACAUUUGUAGUCUUAUCACAAAUGAAAGAACGGAAAAAGUAAAAAACAUAAUAUUUCUUUUCAGCACAAGGCCAUAACAUAGCAAAAUUGGGCCUUUAGCUUUUUCUUCCCGUAAAUUUGCAACAGUACAAAAUGAUAUAAUCGACCAGACCGUAAUGGUUGGUCAAUGAAGACGGAUGUUGAUGGAUAUUGUCAGAUGCAACCCGUCAACAAAAAUGUAAGCGUAUUUAGUGAGUUAAAUUUCUUAUUAACUAUAGGAAAUAUGUAUAUAUAUAUAUAUAUAUAUUCAAAUUUUGUGAUCUGAUCAGUUUUUCUCUUUCUUUCCAAUCAGUCAGUUACCACAAGAUCAUGUGAAUUUUGUAAAAUUUGGGUUUUCGAUUGACGUAUGUGUGGAUCUUAAAACUCACAUUAAAUAUUUGAUAGUGAUUGUUAAUAAAGAUUAAAAAUAAAAUAAUAUGGACAACGAUAUCCUCAGAAUACAAACGAUGUAAACAGAUUAUAGUUAACAAAAAUGGACUUUAUUAAUGAUGAUUGAAGGGAACACAAUGAACGUUGAAAUGAAUGAAAUGACAAUGAAUAAGAUCUAAGACAAAAGUAUAGAGAGUGUGAGAUCGAGGUCGAGGUCGAGCAUGUAGUAUGUCUAGGGUUAGAAUGCAAGUCUCCUCUCUUGACCUCCUCCUCCUUUAUAGUCCUCUCCUUUGAGAUUGUCUCAACUCCCUCCACGAAUCUCGGCUCCAUUGUUUUUGACCAAGUCAAACUUGUCAUUCUAUCUCGGUCAUAAGCCUGCUCUGGCCUAGCCAAUUAUUGGGCCCAACAGUAUGAAUUGGUAUUUUAAGGUGCUUUGUAGGCUUUAUGGCCCUCCAUUUUAUAUUUUCUUCAUAUUUACCAAGACAAGUCAUUGCUGGUUCACUAGCAAGAGCAACAUAUGCAAAAUUGUCAAUCCUUGCAACAAGCUUUCCAUGUCUUGGAUAACAUAUAUGUCCUUAGUACUUAAGUAUAUGUGGAUAAUAUUGGCUGUAUUUUUUCAAAAUUAGUUCCACUUGUUAUGCCACAUAUCCUCGGUUAUCAACUCAUGCAAAUUGCACAUAUGACCUUCAACCAUGGAAAUGAAAGCAUUUUUAGUAUCCUUAUAAGCCUUAUAGCUCAGAAUGUUUAUGAUCAUUUGGUCUUAUAAUAGACAGAAAGCUAUUAGUUUCAUCAAUAACUAUAGGUUCAUUUUCUUCCACUAUUGAUAAUGAUGCACUUAUAGAGUUAACAAUCAUUAAACAUUAAUUAACUAAAACAAAACUAAGAAAUAAAAAAAAAUUCAUUAGAUUUUCUUGAUUUGUUCUUGAUUAAUAUAAUAUAUGUUAACUCUUAUAAAUAUAGAUAUGUCAUCAAAAAUAGAAUAUAAACACCUCUUUUAUAUAUCUUCAAAACAUUGACAUUAAAAAGACUCGUCAAAAUAUGAUGAUACAUGUCAAAUCAAACUCAUAUUGUUGCAAAGAUUGCAUUGUAACAUUGAAAAAGUGAAUUUCACUGAUAAUUGCAUCACAUGGAACAAGGAGAGAGUAACGGAAAUGUUGAUUCGGUUGAUCUCAUUUUUUUCUAACAUAACUAUUUUAAAAGUUUCUCAUUCUUUGUUGGGAUUGUGAAAUCCCGUGUCCAACUCUAUCUUAUCUUAUUAGUACGAUAUUGUCCACUUUGGGCCUUAGAGACUGGUCCGCAUGGAUUUACUUUUGGUUUCCUUCCCAAAAGGCCUCGUACUAUUAGAGUUGGACAUAUCUUUAUAUAUUAGACUUUCCUUUGUCUAAUAUCCGAUGUGGAACUUAACUUGUUAUCUCACAUUCUCUCCCUCAAGCUAAGGACCACAUUCAUCUCGUAUGUUUCCUUCGGCGAAUCAUCUUCGGUAACACCUUGUACCAGUAAUCGCAGGGCUUUCUUUUUAGAAUGUUUCUCCCACAACACAUCACAGGUUCCAUGAUCUUCUGACGUUUCUGCAACAUACCUUCUCUUUCUUUUUCUACCCGUUUUUACUUAAAGGGUAUUUUAGUCUUCUUGCAGAUUUCUCGUCAACCUGGCUCUGAUACCAAUUGUUGGGAUUGCGAAAUCCCGUGUCCAACUCUAUCUUAUCUUAUUAGUACGAUAUUGUCCACUUUGGGCCUUAGAGACUGGUCCGCAUGGAUUUACUUUUGGUUUCCUUCCCAAAAGGCCUCGUACUAUUAGAGUUGGACAUAUCUUUAUAUAUUAGACUUUCAUUUGUCUAAUAUCCGAUGUGGAACUUAACUUGUUAUCUCACAUUCUUGGAUUCAAUGAUGAUGAAACUUCUCAAUUUCAUUAUUCUUCUUUUCUGUGAUUGUAAGCCUCUUAAAUACCAAAACCAGAAUUUUGAUAUUCUUUUGGUUUUUGUUUCAUAGUAUAUAGCCAGUCAUAUGUGUUGUACAGCCAUAAUGCAAUCUUGAUUUAUGUUUUGUUAUUAUCUUCUUAUGAUUGUACAUUCUCUUAAAAGCUAAACUAGAAUUUUGGUUUUUUUUUUAAUUUUUGAGUUCUCUAUAUAAUUUACACCGCAAUCCUAAUUUUUCAAUAACAUGAGAAUCAUAAUUCUCUUUUAUGAUUGUACAUUCUGUUGAAAGCUAAAAUAGAAUUAUAUGUAUACUUUUGGGUUUUUUUUGGUUCUCUAAUCAGAUGUGUGCUUGUUAUAACAUGAGCAUCAUAAUCCUCUGAUUAAAAUAAUUUGUGAAUUACGUAGUAAACCAUCGAUAAAAUUGAUAAAUUCUCUCUUUUUGCUUACAAUUAUUAACUCAAAUAAUCACAUAUUAACAUUUUAAUAAAAGACACAAGUUUGGGGUAUGGAAAACCUUCAAAUAAUCACAUAUUAACAUGUAAUUAUUCUAUUGAUAAAAUCAUUUGAAAGAUUGUUAGUUGUUGUUGUGUUCGAAUCGAACCUGCAAAACCUUCAAGUUAUUUGAGAUACUUUUCGCAGUCUAAUAUAUUUGUUAUUCUCUUAUUUUUCUAAUUGAUAUACUUAGGGGGUAUUCAAUCCGAAUAUCGGUUCGGUUUCGGCUCGGUUUUUUUGGUUUUCGGUAUUUCGGUUAGUAAAAUACAACAACCAUUCUAAAUUCAUAUUUAAUUCGGUUUGGUUUAUAUACUGUCAGUUUUCGGUUUAUUUGAUUUUAUACCAAAAAAACAUAAUUAUUUAGCUUGGGAUUAUAUUAUAUGAUUUUAGAGUCAUGUUGUCAAUGCAGUUAUUUAUUAAAAAAAUAUUAUAUGUUUAAAUAAAAGAACUAAAAAACAAAAAAAAACCUGCUUCUACCAUCUAAUAAAAUAAUCAAAUCAAAGCUUAAAAUUUUGAAAAUAAAAAUAAAAACAAAACAGAAACACCAAAGAAAAGUUUUUCUAUUCUUCCAUAUUUAGUGUUCAUCAAAAUCAUGUUGCUUCGAUUGAACAUGAAACUCUUUUCAUUUAUAGAUAAGAAAAAAAUUGUGAAUAAUUUCUACUAAUUGUUGUCCAUAAAAUUUAUAGUCUUUACUUCAAUUUAGCCAAUGCUAAAAUAAAGCAAAAGGAUCAAAAAAGAAGACUAAGAAAAAUAUGGUAAUAGUUAUUAACAAAAAAUUAAUUUAUACAACAAAUAGAUUUUCAUUCGUCGUUAUAAAAUAUAUACAUAUUUACAUGGGGAAAUUUCAUGUUUACACUUUCUUUCAUACCACAAUUCAAUUAUACCACUAGUAUGGGGACAUUUUCAUAAAUACACUAUUCAUUAAUGAGCAAAAGACAAUAUUACCCUUAUCUUUAUCUUCUCCUCAAUCAUCGAUUUCUUCAUUUUUCUCUUUCGGCGAUCGAUCUUUUCCUUCGUCGGUGGACUAAGGUGCUUACGGGUAUAAAUUUUGCCCUUAUUUAAAUUACUGCGAUACUAUAAAAUCAUAGUUAUUUUCAUAACAAUCUUCAAAUUUUUACUGAUUUUUUCGAAAGAUUUUCAUCUGAGAAAUGCUGUUUGGAACAACUAUUGGUAUUAAGACUUAUUUCAUCUCUCAAGCUACAAACAAAAAUUUCCCUUUUUUGGUCAAGUACACAAGUCAUUUUAAAUGAUAAUUUUUCCUAGUUAGUUUUAGGAUAGUACUCAUAUACCUUCAAGAUUUUUUUUUAUUCAAUAGAAAAUAAGAUAAUGUAAUGCGAAAAAUGAAAAUCCAAUAGAAGAGAAGGUACCGUAAUUCGAAAAACGAAAGACAAUGAAAAUCCUAACCAAGCUGCGUUGGUUCAAAUGGUAAAGGAGUUCCGGCUAUAACUUCUGUCACAUGGGUUAGAUUCGUGUUGGCAAUUUAGUUGCAUUUUAAAUUGGAAUAAUAUGUACACGGAUGUAAAGUCUCGUAAGAUUAGUUUUUGUGGUACAUACGGUUAUAAAAAAAUGGAAAAUCAAACAUGACAUCUGUUAAAUAUAUUAUGGGGUUAUUUGUGAAAUAACCAAAUAAAAAACAUAAUUAGAUUUUUAGAGAGAUGGUAGAGAAAGAUAGGAAGAGAGAAUAGGAGAGAAAGUGAUUUUGGUUAAUUGGUAAAUUUGAGUUUUUUGUCUGUAGAUGCAAUUUCUGAUAUAUUAUGAAGAGAAGAGAAGUUUCUACGAGGCCCAUUUGUUCACAAUUGGACUUAAAAUAAACACACAAUUGGGAACUUACUAAAAGAAGGUUAACUCUUGUCUCUUGCUCCGCAAGUUAACUUGCCCGGUCUCCUCAAAGCAUCCGAAGAGUAGUUAGCUGAAAGAUUUGUCUUUCACUUGGCAGUAAAAAUUGGGCAUAAGAAGUAAACCACAUUCUUAGAUUAUUAGCUUCUUCAUCAUUAUACGUAAAAUCUGAAAGAUCCAUCACAUUACCAAUUUUCAAGAAAAUGUAUAUUAGAAGAAAAGCUUAAGUUGAUGAUGAUGAUGAAGAAGAUAUAGAAUAGGUGUCAACUUUCAAAGUUUGGUCUUCUUUUGCGUUUUCGUUAAACUAAUUUUAGCUCAGCCAUGGUGGAUUUACUAUUUUUAUCCAACUUGAUUAGUUUCAUUCUUUUAACCAACAAAAAAAAAAACAGAGAGAGAGAGAGGAAAAAAAGUGUUUGGUUAUGGUUAAUCUUCGUGCUUUCCACUAACCUCCCUUUUGUUUAUCCAAAUAUUUUCCUCGAAAAUUUUCAUUAGUUUCAAACUCUAAAUCAGAAAGAGAGAGAUAGGAGUGCAACACAAGGAUGCCUUCUCCUCCGGAAGAAGGAACCCAACCCAAAACCGAUUCGGGUUCGGGCCCGGGUCAAACCUCUGAACGUGAUACCAAUCAACCACCACCUCCUACAGCGCAAUCUCAACCGCCGCAAGCACAAACGCAAACGCAGCCAUAUCCGCCGGUGAUGGGAUAUCCAGGGUACUCCCAAGACCCAUACUCAAAUUAUCCAAACGUCCCUUAUAAUCACCAACAAUACGCCUACGCGCAAGCC
rnacentral:lncRNA from 1 species